rnacentral:rRNA from 1 species
UACGUAGGGUGCGAGCGUUAAUCGGAAUUACUGGGCGUAAAGCGCGCGCAGGCGGUCCUUUAAGUCUGAUGUGAAAGCCCUCGGCUCAACCGAGGAGGGUCAUUGGAAACUGGAGGACUUGAGUGCAGAAGAGGAAGGUGGAAUUCCAAGUGUAGCGGUGAAAUGCGUAGAGAUUUGGAGGAACACCAGUGGCGAAGGCGACUUUCUGGUCUGUAACUGACGCUGAGGCGCGAAAGCGUGGGGAGCAAACAGG